rnacentral:lncRNA from 1 species
GGCCUCCCUAUUUGGGCCUUCAUCCUGAAUUGUGUGAUUGGGCUUCAUUCUUUGGGCUAUCUGAUUUGGAGAUCCUCCAAUUGGGUUUCAUUCCUUGGGCCGUUCGAUUUGGGCUGAAUUUUUAUGUGUCAACAAUUACCCCCCAAUAUGGCAUAAUUAAUACCAAUUAUUAAAUUUUGCCAUAUUCACUUUUGUGUUUCCAGCAACAUUCGAAAUUCUUAAGAAUUUCAAUCAUUGUUUUCUUCCAUAGCUUUGAAAAGGUGCGACGUUUUGCAAACC